AGUGAACGCUGGCGGCAGGCCUAACACAUGCAAGUCGAGCGGCAGCGGGUCCUUCGGGGUGUCGACGAGCGUCGGUCGGGUGAGGAAUACAUCGGAAUCUUCCCUGUCGUGUUGGAUAACCUAGGGCAACUUAGGCUAAUACCUCAUACGACCUACGGGCGAAAGCGGGGGUUCGCAAUACCUCGCGCGACAGGUUUACCCGAGGUCCGAUUCGCUAGUUGGCGGGGUAAAGGCCCACCAAGGCGACGAUCGGUAGCGGGUCUGAGAGGAGGAUCAGCAACACUGGGACUGAGACACGGCCAAGACUCCUACGGGAGGAGGCAGUGGGGAACAUUGGACAAUGGGCAAAAGCCGGAUCAAGACAGGCGGCUGGGGUAAAGAAGGCCUUCGGGUUGUAAAGCCCUUUUGUCCGGGAAGAAGGCGUCUGGGCUAAUAGCCAGAGCGAAUGACGGUACCGGAAGAAUAAGCAACGGCUAACUUCGUG
rnacentral:rRNA from 1 species